rnacentral:lncRNA from 1 species
AUUAAAUUCUUGCCCCCAGUUCAAAUGGUGAUGGCACACCUUUAAUCCCAGUACUCUGGAGAUACAGGUAGGAGGAUCUCUGAAUUCAAGGUUAACCUUGGCUACUGCUUGAGUUCCAGGACAACCAAGGCUACACAAAGAAACCCUGCCUCAGACGAUGAUGACGACAACAACAACAACCGUUACACUCUGAAGUGAUGCAGAACCCGAUUUUAGAAAAGAAAAGCCAGUUUGAGCCUCGCC